CAGGCCUAACACAUGCAAGUCGAGCGGUAGAGAGAAGCUUGCUUCUCUUGAGAGCGGCGGACGGGUGAGUAAUGCCUAGGAAUCUGCCUGGUAGUGGGGGAUAACGUUCGGAAACGGACGCUAAUACCGCAUACGUCCUACGGGAGAAAGCAGGGGACCUUCGGGCCUUGCGCUAUCAGAUGAGCCUAGGUCGGAUUAGCUAGUUGGUGAGGUAAUGGCUCACCAAGGCGACGAUCCGUAACUGGUCUGAGAGGAUGAUCAGUCACACUGGAACUGAGACACGGUCCAGACUCCUACGGGAGGCAGCAGUGGGGAAUAUUGGACAAUGGGCGAAAGCCUGAUCCAGCCAUGCCGCGUGUGUGAAGAAGGUCUUCGGAUUGUAAAGCACUUUAAGUUGGGAGGAAGGGUUGUAGAUUAAUACUCUGCAAUUUUGACGUUACCGACAGAAUAAGCACCGGCUAACUCUGUGCCAGCAGCCGCGGUAAUACAGAGGGUGCAAGCGUUAAUCGGAAUUACUGGGCGUAAAGCGCGCGUAGGUGGUUUGUUAAGUUGGAUGUGAAAUCCCCGGGCUCAACCUGGGAACUGCAUUCAAAACUGACUGACUAGAGUAUGGUAGAGGGUGGUGGAAUUUCCUGUGUAGCGGUGAAAUGCGUAGAUAUAGGAAGGAACACCAGUGGCGAAGG
rnacentral:rRNA from 1 species